rnacentral:snRNA from 1 species
ACAAACCCAAUAUUAAAUAGGAA